rnacentral:tRNA from 1 species
GUGGCCGUAGCUCAGUUGGUAGAGCGUCUGGUUGUGGACCAGAAUGUCGCGGGUUCAAGCCCCGUCGGUCACC